rnacentral:lncRNA from 1 species
AGCCACCACCCCAGCCCCAUCACUUAUUUCUUUCAUUGCACUUUAAGUAAACACAGAUAAGAGCGGUCCAAUGGUGUGACUAAGACUGGGCCCUACUGUAUACUUGGUACUCCAGUGAGGCUGUCUGUAGUCAGGCCUCAUACUUUGUGGCUGCCUUUAUAUCUCCUUCUGUUUGUCCUGCUCCUUGCAGGUUGUUGAUUAGCACUUAUCUCCCCGCCUCCUAUGUACUGGGGAUUGAACCCAGGACAUUCUACCACUGAGUUACAUCCCCAGCUCUUUUAAAAUUUUGUUUGGAGUCAAGGUCUGGUUGUGUCUAGGCUGGCCUCUUGCCUUGGCCUCCUAGGUACUUAGGAUUGUAUGUGUUCGCCACUGCAUUCAGCUAGAAGUUCCCUCUUAAAACGGGUAUUAUCUCAUGACAAGCAGAUAUUGUCAUUCAUGAUGAAAUGACGUGAUACAGUACAUUUAUCGGGAGAUAAUUUCUGUGUGAUUUUAUCUUUAACUCAGCAGUUAUUCAGUGAGGACUAAUAUGUGCUGACCACUUUGCUAGUUAUUAAGGAUACAUUGAUUCUUACUUAUUCCUGAUUACAAAGUUCUUAUUUAUUUUGGGCAUAAGUUAAUAAUGGCAAGAAAGGAUUAAUCAGAGUAAUAAAUUAUUGAAUAGAGCUCAUUAUCUGAAAUUAUCUUUCAUAGCAAGGAUAAGAGGACUGGAAUGAGACUUUGGGUCCAAGCUGUGAACAAGAAACAGACUUCAACUUAAAGGAUGUUCUUUGUUCUGCUGAGGCUGCUGUGGAGGCGAGGCAGAAACAGUUCCCAGGUGCUGGGAGGCAUCUGCAUAUGCUUUUUCCUGUCAUUUAUCCCUUGGAAAAGAGCUUUGGGAUCUUGCUAUAAGUAAAGCCACUCUUCAUGGAAAUUUUCUUGUUCUUCUAUUUAAUGUGUAUUUAAGCAGAAGCUCUCUUUGUAUUUUGAGGCUUAUUUUCUCUAAAUUGUACACUGACAUUUUUCUUGCUCUUCCUGUGGUAUUCACUGUGAUCAUGCAAGACACUUUGGAAGGAUUUUUAACUCCUCCAUCUCCUUCUGCAUAUCUGGCCCCUGUGGCCCCUGGGCAAGGUGAACAGUUGGGUUUCUGCCUUCUCUGGGUCUUCUUGGGUCUAAUUGGUGUCUUGCUAGUAACCUUACUCAUUUUAAAUGUUACUGUUGCUCAAUGACCACUAUCUAACAAGAUGAUUACUUAGGGGUACUGGCUAGUUUGAAGUCUGACCGUGAGUUAGGAUUGAAGUUAGGAUUAAAGUUCAUCAGAACCUUAAAUAGCAAACAUUUUGGUGACUUGUUUCUGCCCUUUCCAUAGACAUGCAAAAAGAAGCACAAUUAACACUGAGGACGUGAAGCUCUUAGCCAGGAGGAGUAAUUCACUGGUGAGAGAUGAAUUUCUUUGCUCAUUCCCCUUUCCCAUCAGAAUACAUUAUUCCCAAUUAAUCACUUGAAGCCAUGAAGUUAAUCCCUAGGGCACCUUGCAUUAAAAACUAGAGAUGGUUGAACUAUGCAGACCUGCCUGAAAUUUAUGAUCUUUCUUUCAUGAUGAUGAAUCUUAUGAAGCAAUUUGAAAUUUUUUAAUCAGCACUCUCUGAAUUUCAUAAUUUGCCCUUUUUGUAAUCUCUCAAAACUUUGGUUCCAUGUUUCAUUUACAGCAUGAUGUCAGAGACUGAUCACAGGCUAAUCUGUGGGGAGGGUUCUUUAUAGUAUCCAUAGUUCUCCUCACAGGCAAGGUGUGGAAGAGUAUCUAUGAGGCUGAAUGUGCAGGAAAAAGCAUUUUCUCUCUCUUCUUUUUCUUUCAUUUUUCUUUUGGUGGGGUAGCACAGUGUGGGGAGGAGUAUUGGGAAAUCAGGCCAGGAGUGGUUUACUACUGAGCUAUCUUUAUUUUUUAUUUCAAGACAGGGUCUCACUAAGUUGCUUAUGACCUUGUUGAGUUACCCAGGCUGGCCUUGAAUUUGCAGUUUUCCUGCUUCAGCCUCCCAAGUAGCUGAGAUCACAGGCAUGUACCACCGCAUCUGGUGACAUUUUCUAUCUUUUCAAGUCUAGAAAUUAUUUUGACUAAACUUUCAUUUUUCAGGUAAAGACACAGAGAUGCUAUGAUCAUCCCAGGCUAGUGGCUGUGACUGAUAGCAGACCCAGGACACCAGGAGGUGUCCUAAGUCCAGUGCUAGCAAUUAAUACACUGAUGGCCCUCAGUAAUGUGGUCUCCACAAGGACAGGGUUUUUUUUGCUUUUGUUCUCAGCUCCAUUAACACUACUUCUAGAAUAGUGCCUGCCACAAAAAAGGUGCUCAAUAAAUAGUUGUUCAUGAAUUAAUCUGUGUAGUAUUUUACUUAAACUCCUGCCUCAGCCUUCUGAAUAGCUAAAACUAUAGGCACACACCACCACACUCCGCCUGGGUGGGUUUUUAAUAAUAUAUCUUAUUAGUCCCACUUUAUAGGCUUGGCAACUGAAGUUCAGUAACUCCCCAAAGUUAAAUAGGAAGUUUUGUGAUUGAAAGCUGAAGCUUAACCUUCUGGCCCUCAAUCCAGUGCUGUUUUCUUCACCUUAUCUUUUCUACUUUCCUCUCUUAAUAUCCUUUCUCCAAAGUUUAAGUCAAGAUUAAGGAUGUGGCAUUGGGCAGACAUUCUUCUCUUUGUAACUUCUGCACAGUUAUAAUUUAUUUGGUCUCCUUUAGUUAUCAAUUUCUGUUGCAAAGGGAUGAUCAUUCACCUCAUCUAGGAAUAUUAAUUGGGAAGUCAUCUCCUUGUAUGUUUGUUUACUUCAUAAUAUUGUUUUUAUUUUGAACUCUUUUAAUUUUUUUUUCACCUGAUACACCUUAUUACAGAGGAGUAUAGCUAAAUUUGUGCAUUAGACCAAGUCCUCCGAGAGCAGGAGGAACUUUUCUUAUUUAUCUUGUAUCCCUAGUACUUGCAACAUAGCAGUUGCCCAAUAAACUUUAGUUGGAUAAAUUUAAGGGGUGUUGAUUAUAUUCGAGCUUUGUUUUUUGUAGUGUUGAGGAUGGAAACCCCUUUUGCCUUAUGAAUGCUAAGCAAACACUUUGUCACUGAGCUCCACCCCGGCCCUCCACUUUUACUUUAUGUAGUAAAUUUCUACAAACUUCAUUUUUUUUUUUUCAACUGGGGCCUUCCACAUGCAAACUUCCCAUUUUAAAUUCUUUCGAUUAUUCAAGGAACUCUUACACUGAAAUAUACUGUUUGGAAGAUACGUGGAUAGCACUCAGUUGAUUUUUAUAGUUGAUUCCUUUUUCUAGAAAAAAGUUUUGAAGCUGCCUUUAACUCUAAGAGGUGUAACCCAGGCUUUUCUACCCAAAUUCUCUGGAUGUGAGUGGUUGGGGACGGUGUGGCUGUUAUUUUUGGUUUAAUGAUUUACAAGCAGAUUAAGUACUUUUUUUUUUUUUUUGUAGCUAAAAUACAUAACAGAGAAAAAUGAUGAGAUUGCUCAGUUUAACCUGGAACGGAAGGCAAAGAAGAAAAACAAGUCAGAGGAUGUUAACAAAAGCUCAAGGGAAACAGUAGAAUCUGAAGCAGUGGACAGUGAGGACUGAGCUCCUACCACUGAGGCCGCUCUCUGCAGGUAGAGCCUCUGGGAGUGUCUGUUGCCUCAAAGAGAAUUUUGAAGUGAUAAGUAGAGAUUUAAAAGAAAAAGAGGCUAGGCAGCUUUGUGUGCUGAAUUCUCCAAGCCAUUAACUGCAGAAGCUAGUUUAAAAGACACCCAGAAAGUCCAGCAAAUACUCCUGUGUAUUCCUCAAGCACAACAAGAAGGCAUGUGUAUGAAUGGUAUAUCCUGGGACUUACACACACUAUGGCUAAUAAAAUUGUGUGAGCAAGUAAGCAUGAUAGACUUUUUCAAACAGAAAUCAUAGUUAUUUUUCAUUCUUUUAUGUAAUUUUCUUAGCCAAAAGGCAAUCUCUGAAAGAUG